UGUGCUAACCCUGCAAGUCGAAUAGAAGAGACAGAGGAGGGGAGGUGACGGAGAGGACACUUUUAGAUGUCACUAAAAUGGUACUGAUGAAAACAAGCUGAGUUCCUUCCUGCUCUUGUUCACGUGAGGCCGUUCUCGUACGUCCUUGUUUUUCAUGACACAUGAGGACACCAUUCCCAGGUCAGGACUGCUUGUGUUGUAUUCAGCACCGAAUUGAUACAAGAUGAGAAAACAUUGUGCACUUAUUUGAACAUCCACAGUACAUCAGUGUGAGCAACUGCUUCAUCAACAGAUGUUCUUUUUUAUAGCCUCCCCCCUUUUUCUUCUCAUGCCCCUCACCGUCUCCUCCUUCAUCACUGCUGGUUGGAAUUGAAUUAUCAUCCUCAACAUUAGGAAGGACCAGGAGAAGCAGCAGAGUUUUGCCAUGAAGGCAGGCGGAGAUCUGUGAGUGUGUGUUAAGUGGCACGACGUGAGGCGUUGUUGCUGAUUUCCACAGCUUCGCUCAAAACACUCCUGCUGAGUUAAUAAAUCCGACCUCUGCUUAAUUAAAAUAACAGACCAUCCUCCACUGAGGAGAGAGAGGAAAAAAGACACUUUGAGAAUUAUUCUAAAUCGUGUGUUAAUUAAGAUUUAGUAAAAACAAAAAGAAACCUGUCAGGGAACGUGUGUGUGUGUGUGUGUGUGUGUGUGUGUUGUGGUAAAUUAUAGGUCAGGAGCAGCUGCGUGUGGACUCUAAUGCAGGGAGAAGUUACAAAUCCUCUGGAGGAGAGCAGCGUUACAGCUGCUCUGGUAAACUAUUAGACAUCUAGUCAAACUAAUGUGUAAAUGCUAAUAUAUACAGCAUACCUCUAUUAACAUAUCUGGAGUGCAGAGGCAAAUCCCCUUUAAAAUGGACGACCCAACAAGAAAAUAAUCACAUUUACAAGGGCUUAUUUAGGGAUCCGAGGGUAAUGCAGCCUUUUCUGCGGCAACAGUCGGCGCUGCCCCAUUAAUUGCUAAUUUUGUAGCGUUGCUCUCUUGACCGUGGAAGGUGAACAGGGCCAGAAAACAGUCACAACAUAAUGAUUGCGUUGUAAUAACUGCAUCUUCUGUCUCAUCAUGAAUCUUGGCCCCAGCAUCCAUGAGGGCUCUAAUUCUCCAGCAAGGAGUGUUAAGAGGAUAUCAUUACCACUUUUUUUUUUUUUUUUUUUUUUUGUAAAGUAAGCUUCAGAUUUGGUUAAAUAUAGUAGCAUUUUUUUCCACCCAGUUUUGCAUUGAAGCUGGGUCAAGCCGACCCCUCCCAUGGCAAUUCUUUUCAAAGGCAGCUGCCAAAGCGCCUCCUCUGCCACAAAUGUAGCCAGUAUCGAUGCCAUGCUUAAAAAACUGAUUGAAAAGAGACUUACAUGUUUCAAAGCAUGCUGGGAGCUGGGGGCCCGGCAAAAGCCCAGAGUAUUAAAGCUGAGAUACUCAACAGAAUAUGCUAUAAAAAGGAAACAUAUGCCCAUAGGUCCAACGGUGCAAUAAUUAAUGCAUGUAUGUGAUUCUGAAGAUUUUCCAGAGUGGUAAUAUUUUUGGUAAAUCUUCAUGUUCUGGCCUACUUUUCAUUUGUGAGAAGAACAAUUCUGUUAAAAAAAAUAACUUAAACUUGCAAACCAUAUUUGUGAUAUUUAUAUUUUAACAGAAAGAAUAGUUUAGAGGGAAUGAAAAGAUUUUUUUAUUUGGUUUGGGUUUUCUUUUCUUUUUAAAUGUCACACUGAAGGUAAUUAGGUCACGGCAGUGCAAACAUUUGUUACUUCGAGGAUUCAUCUUCGUAUCAAUUCAAGCUGCCUAUGAAGGACACAGCAGCUGGUGAAAGAGACGUAAAGACGCGUUACUGCUGACAGUGUUAAUUGAUGAAAGUGUGAUUCAUGGACCCUGCCAUUGUCCCCACGUUCUCAAAGAUCACCUCAAACAGUAUCAACAGCACAUUUUUGACGAGACAUUUUUAAUUAGUCCGAGCCAAUGAGUAAAUGCCUGGAUCUUUGCAGCCGAUAUAAGAAGAUGAUGAUGAAGAAACACCCCCCUCCACCACCAUCCCCUCCUCCUCCCUCUCUCCUAUUCAGCCAAAUCCCCAAAGAGUCCUAUUGUUAUCUCAAUAUACUGUUCGUCUCUAAAUCGGAGAACAUAAUAGAAACUCUGUGGUGAGAAGUGUGGCGCUGUGCACAACGUUUGCAUAUUUAUUCAGCUGUCACAUCUAUCUGAGCAGAUCAUCAGAGGAGAUAAACUAAAGAGAUGAGGGAAUAAUGGCUCUCGCUGAGAGACUGCUGAGUGACACCAGCAUAUUCCUGGAAAACACCAGAAACUGAGUAAACAGGGAAGAAAUGAAGAAGGGAAAAAAAUCUACAAAGCCAUGAGAUUGAAAAUGAGCUGCGGUUAAUGACGGUGAUGACAACAGUGAUGAAGAAGAUGUGAAUAUCAUUUGAAUGAUGGAAGGUUUUUGAAGAAGUAACGAGGCAAACAAAGCAGAGCUGCAAACUUUUCUAUUCAAAAUUGUUACUUCAAAAAGAGAAGAUUUUGACUUUUUUAGGGGUCACAGAGUUUUUAACUAAGGCGGCGUACACUAUUUAAAAUAAAAAAUGAAACAUUUACGUGAAAUAUAAAUAAAAAUCUCCCCAUCUUCUCUCCACAUUAACCUGUCUGUGUAACUCCCCAAUCGUUAGCAUCACACACACAAGCAGUGGGCAGUAUUUGUCAGUGUUGAGAGGUUAGAACCCCAAACGUCCAAUUACAGGAAGAUUCUUCAACCGCUGGGCCACAGGAUGCUCCAAAUAUGACGUCGUUUUGAACAUUUGAUUCCAAAUCAAACAUUCAAGUUGAAAUUAGGAGUAGCACUGGCAACGGUACAUUUGAUUUCCUCUCCACACAUGUAAGUAUCUCUAUUUAAACAGAUUGUAGAGUCUAAAUGCUGCACUUGUUAGAAUCACUGACCUUUUAUUUCACAUAUGUAGACGCCAUCAGUGAGUGAGACUGUCACAGGGACCUAUGUGUCAUCUGUUCUUCAAUGUAUACAGAUACAUGCACGCGCGCGUGCACUCAAUGAGGACAGUUAAUUGAACAAUAUCCAGGAAAUGACAGGAGGACAGUGAGCGUAAUCCCUGCUCAAUGGUGCCAUCUAGUGUUUCUUCAGGGUAGCCCCACGGAAGCUAAAGCUACCACUGCUACCGCUGCCCUCUGUCAGGAAGUUGGUCAACAUUACAUAAGUGACCAAGUGCCGAACCUCAGAUGUUGUCUACUGACAGGGAGCUGAAAAUACAGUCAAGCAAAACUACAGGUAAUAGAUUAGACUUGUGUCACAAAAAGCAU